AGGACGAACGCUGGCGGCGUGCUUAGCACAUGCAAGUCGAGCGGAAAGGCCCUUCGGGGUACUCGAGCGGCGAACGGGUGAGUAACACGUGAGUAAUCUGCCCCUAGCUCUGGGAUAGCUCCGGGAAACCGGGAUUAAUACCGGAUACGACCACUACGGACAUCUGUGGUGGUGGAAAGAACUUCGGCUAGGGAUGAGCUCGCGGCCUAUCAGCUUGUUGGUGGGGUAACGCCUACCAAGGCGACGACGGGUA
rnacentral:rRNA from 1 species